CCCUGGAGGGAAUCGACUGCCAGUUUAAGGAGUCAUUGUCCAGUUCAGACUCCAGAAUACGAAACGUAGAAACUGACAGGAAAUGACCAAGUAUAAAUUGCAACUUGUAAAGAAUCAUCUUAAAUCCUGGCACUGCGUUCAAGGGGGAGUUUGAGCAAGGAAUGUUGCUAAAACGGCUAAAACCAGGAACUCAGAAUAUCGUUCUACAAUAGAACCUAAAAACUGUUUCCAACCCAUCACGACAUCACCCUGAAAAAUGAGUGAGCAGUCACUGAGGCUUCCCAAGUUUGAAAAUUCCACAAGACUGAGAGCAAAUGUUUUGUUGAAACUGAAGUCAAGAUGAAGUCAGCUGACUCUCAAACCUCAGGUGAAGUGACUCAGGGCCCACACCCCGGUUCUGAGGCAGGGACACAUUUUACUUGCAGCACCCUGCAGCUUUGGAUGAGGCUGCAACCCGGGUGAAUCCUGGCCCUGCUAUCACGUGGGCAGCCACUGCAUCCUCCGGAGGCUGUGGAUGGGAGUCACCAUGCUGGGAGGUCUGGAGUAAGAUCUGUGCCAUCUGCCUUGCCCAAUCCUGUACCAGUGCCUGUGUUUCAAAAUCUCAAAAUAAAAGUGAUUAUUCUUGCAACACAUCUAGGUGUACUAAACGAAUAC
rnacentral:lncRNA from 1 species